rnacentral:rRNA from 1 species
GAUGAACGCUGGCGGCGUGCCUAAUACAUGCAAGUCGAGCGAACGGACGAGAAGCUUGCUUCUCUGAUGUUAGCGGCGGACGGGUGAGUAACGCGUGGAUAACCUACCCAUAAGACUGGGAUAACUUCGGGAAACCGGAGCUAAUACCGGAUAAUAUUUUGAACCGCAUGGUUCAAAAGUGAAAGACGGUCUUGCUGUCACUUAUAGAUGGAUCCGCGCUGCAUUAGCUAGUUGGUAAGGUAACGGCUUACCAAGGCAACGAUGCAUAGCCGACCUGAGAGGGUGAUCGGCCACACUGGAACUGAGACACGGUCCAGACUCCUACGGGAGGCAGCAGUAGGGAAUCUUCCGCAAAGGGCGAAAGCCUGACGGAGCAACGCCGCGUGAGUGAUGAAGGUCUUCGGAUCGUAAAACUCUGUUAUUAGGGAAGAACAUAUGUGUAAGUAACUGUGCACAUCUUGACGGUACCUAAUCAGAAAGCCACGGCUAACUACGUG